rnacentral:rRNA from 1 species
UACAGCGGACACAGGUGGUGCAUGGUUGUCGUCAGCUCGUGUCGUGAGAUGUUGGGUUAAGUCCCGCAACGAGCGCAACCCUUGUCAUUAGUUGCUACAUUCAGUUGGGCACUCUAAUGAGACUACCGGUGACAAGCCGGAGGAAGGUGGGGAUGACGUCAAGUCCUCAUGGCCCUUAUAGGUGGGGCUACACACGUCAUACAAUGGCUGGUACAAAGGGUUGCCAACCCGCGAGGGGGAGCUAAUCCCAUAAAGCCAGUCGUAGUCCGGAUCGUAGUCUGCAACUCGACUACGUGAAGUCGGAAUCGCUAGUAAUCGUGGAUCAGAAUGUCACGGUGAAUACGUUCCCGGGUCUU